UGAAAUCCAUAGUGUCAGAGAAAAAGUGAGGGGAAAAUAAGCAAAUCAACACAAAAAAGUUGAUAAGCAGAUAAUUUAACCCAUCAUGUCUUACUAGAAUCCAAAUAAACAAGGAAUUAUCACAAAGUGGAGCUAUAGGAGAUAAAGAUGUAAUUUGUGAUAAUUUUUAUAUAGUUUUAGUAGGAAAGACAACAUAUAUAAGACACAUGUUUUCUUCAUCACCUUAUUUAAACUCUACUCCUAUCUUAACCAGGAAAUUCGAUUUCUGUUAUAGAAAUUUUACUGCACAAAACAUUUAAGAAUCUGGGAUAUAAGAUUUUCUCCACUGGCAAAUACAUAGGGGUUUGGUUUGGAAAUAGAGUCCAAAGGAAGAAAAAAUAUACUGUUAAAGUGAAAUUUUCUCAAAAUAACCAAGUAAUCAAAAUAACCAAAGUGAUCUAUUUGCUCAAGAGAAAAAUACACCCAUAUGCAUCUGAUAUAACCCCAAACAAUGAAUCUUUGAGGAGUAAGCUCCUCUCUUUAUAUUAAAUCCGUAGUGUUAAAAACAAAGUCCAAAAUACCAAACUUCAUCAUCGGUGGGGAUUAGAUAUUUGGGAGCUCAGUGUAAGGGCUGCAAUUGAGAAGGAAACAAACUAUUCAACUGGCAAUUGGUGGAAAAUACAGAGUUGGUGGUGAUGAUGAUGGCAAUAGUUGAAGAGUGAGUGAUAACAGGGAAGGCCGAGUCAAGGAAGGCAAAGAUGGCAAACCAAAAAGCAGCAGGAUGGUAGCGCAAGGGUGUGUGGUGGGCUUGGAGGAAGGUGUGAUGAGUAAGGGGUGGUAAUGAUCAAAGUAAAGGGAUUAGCAGAAGCCAAACCAAGACUAAAGGUGUUGGGAACAGGGGGAGACAAAGAUGGUGGCUCUCACCUGACACCUGGCAUAUUGUAGUCUGGGGGAGCUUUACGGGGCAUUAAAAGUGAGUAGCCAAACAAGUGGCUAAGUCCAAUAAAACUAAAUAAAGAGUCAAGUCAGAGUAGGAAAAGCCAGUUACAAGCUUUGAACCAGAGAACACAACUGGGAUUAAAAAUAAUGUCAUAUCCAUCAAAAGUCCCUCGUAAAAGGGAGUGCUGGAUCAAUUCCAAUGCAUAUUUUAUUGCAACUUCAACUGCCUUUCACUUAUGUUCCUGAAAAAGCCUUAUCUUCCCUCAUCCCACCUUAAAAAGUUUCUGAUCAGGGUGCCUGGGUGGCUUAGUCACUUAUGCAUCCAACUCUUGAUUUUGGUCAUGAUUUCAUGGUCAUGAGAUAGAGCCCUGCAUCAUGCUCCACGAUGGUGUAGAGCCUGCUUAAGAUUCUCUCUCUCUCCUUCUCCCUCUGUUACCCCCCUCUCCCUCUCUCUCUCUCUAAAAAAAAAAAAAAAAAAAAAAGGAAAAAAAAGGGCUUCUGAUCGUGGUAAGUGAUGGAGUCCGAGCAAUAGGAGUGAAGGUAAAAGAGUACCUAUUGCCACAGUAAGCGCAGCGGCAUUGGAGGUAAUAGGUAAUGCCAGCAGCUGAGAAUCUGGUUGCAAUAACUGGAAAAGCAGGAGCUGAGAAAAAUGUAAGUACUUUCUAGACAGAUCACAUCUUAAGGAUCUUCUUUAGGUUUCCCACCUUAUUUCUAUAUCCAAGAAUAGAGUUUGACAAUCAAAUAUGUUAUAUGGUGUAUCUUAUUGCUAUUACAUGCUAUGUCAGUCAUGCAGGAAUCAGAAUCCGAACCAAGGAAUUUUAACAAAGGAACCACUGAUAGAGGUGUAGGCAGAGUGAAGGCAACCAAAAACGAAUGUUUCAGCACCCAGAGAACAGCAACUGAAAGAAGCUGUUUCUUGCCCUAGGGCAAGAUGGGGAAAGAGAAAAAAGUGUUCCUGAAGUACAGUUAGAGCUGGAGGCAUGGACGCAUGACCAGCCCAAGUGGUAGUCAUGGGAGGAUGCAGUCACUAAUAGAAACCAUGGCAAAAAAUUAAAAUUAAAAUUAAAAUUAAAAAUAAAAAAAAAUAAAAUUAAAAAAUAAAAUUAAAAAAAAAAAAAGAAAGAAAAAAACCAUGGCACGUGGUGGGAAAGAAUGGCAAAAAAAUUACCCACUCUCUCUCCUACCCUCCAUCCCUGCCGCUGACUAGCAUGUGUCGGAUUUAAACCGGAAGCUAGCUGUCAAGGCAGCCUGGUGAAUGUUCAUCAAAGUCAGCCUUCCAGGGCACAGAGCAAGACAGAGAAAGGGAGAAUGUAGAUCUGGGUGGGGUAGGGUCACAAACAGAUGAUAACUAGUAGAUACACGACAGCAUUACUGGGACAGAGUUAAACCAUGCCUAAAGAUGAAUUCUCCUGGCCACAAAAAUAGAAUACUCUCCAUGUGUCUUGCCGAUAGCAUGAAAUCCUUGAAUUACAAGAGCUAGAACAUGAGUGGUGGGAAAUUCAAAGUCAUUAAAAUAUAUCCCGGAACUCCUAUGUGUGCCAUGCAUUCUUUGCAAAGGACUGAGAGCAACUAACCAUAGCAAAGAGAAAAUGUGUAAUGAGUAGCCGUCUUAGGUUUGCUUCUAAGUGCUGUGAAAUAAUUUGAAUAUUGAGAAAUAUAUCUAGAUGCUUUCAUUAACAUUUUGAGUAGCAGCAAUGAAAAAUUAGUUUGCUUUUAAUGUUGGUCAUUUAAAACUGAUUUCUAGGGACGCCUGGGUGGCUCAGUGGUUGAGCAUCUGCCUUUGGCUCGGGUCAUGAUCCCAGGGUCCUGGGAUCGAGUCCCAUGUCGGGCUCCCUGCAUGGAGCCUGCUUCUCCCUCUGCCUGUGUCUCUGCCUCACUCUCUGUGUGUCUCUUAUGAAUAAAUAAAUAAAAUGCUAAAAAAAAGAAAGAAAAAAAAACCUGAUUUCUUUCUCAGUGAGAGCUAUAUAAUAAUUUUUUUUUUUUUUUUUUUUUUUUUUUUUUUUUUUUUUUUAGUAAGUGCUAGGUGGCUCAGUCAGUUGACAGAUAGCUCCCAUUUGGGCACGAUCUCAUGGGCCUUGGGAUCCAGCCCCCGUCAGGCUCCACGGGAGUCGGCUUAGGAUUCUGGCCUCUGCCCCUCCUCUUACUCACAUGUGCUCUCUCUCUUGCUCUUGCUCUCUCUAAAAUAAAUAAAUAAAUCUUAAAAAUAUAUAUAAUGAAAAUAAUAAUAAAAAGGGAGUUUUAGACAUGCUGAAAAGCAGGACAAAAAUAAAGGAAGAACAAUAGGGUUAGUAAUGGAGAUCACGUAUUGUUUGAGUUUGUUCUUAUCUUUCAAUCAAGUUAGUUUCUGGAUAAUAGUUACAAAAAGCAAUGCCAAUUUGGUACUGGUGUUUCUUUCUGAUCCCAAAACCAUUAUUUUCUCUUCAUACUAUCUCUCCUUCAUUUAAAAUGUUAUUACCCUCCUUCUUUGAUGAGUGAAUGGAAUAGACUACACUACACUUCUCCCUAAAAAUGACUGUCUUUUAUUGAACUGUUGCUAACAUAUAACAAAAUAAUGUUUCAGUGAGCAUGGGGUUUUUAUACAUAUCUAUACUAUUUUAAAAGAGGAAUCUGACUUUGUAACAUAAAACACCAUAUAUUUAAAGUGAAAAUAACAGCUUAAGAGGCUAAAGGAUUUUUAAAAAUAAAAUCAACUUUCCUAUGGCAGAUGAUGGCAAUAGAAGGAGGAAGAAUGUGAGACGUAGUGGCUUACACUCACAAAGCAGUUAAAGGCUUAUGCCAAUUUGUGAAAACCAUGCCAUAUAUGACAUGGAGAAAACUAUCAAAAUUAUUUGACCAAAAAAAAAAAAAAA
rnacentral:lncRNA from 1 species